ACAAGGACGUCCCUCCUCCUCUGCUCCUGCUCACAGUGACCCUGAUCGGGUAAAGCUCCCAUCCUGCCCUGACUUUGUCAUGGGCACCAGCCUCCUCUGCUGGGUAGCCCUGUGCCUCCUGGGGGCAGAUCAUAUAGGUGCUGGAGUCUCCCAGACCCCCAGUAACAAGGUCGCAGAGAAGGGAAAGGAUGUAGAGCUCAGGUGUGAUCCAAUUUCAGGUCAUACUGCCCUUUACUGGUACCGACAGAGCCUGGGGCAGGGCCCAGAGUUUCUGAUUUACUUCCAAGGCAAGGAUGCACCAGAUGACUCGAGGCUGCCCAAUGAUCGGUUCUCUGCAGUGAGGCCUGAGGGAUCCGUCUCUACUCUGAAGAUCCAGCGCACAGAACAGGGGGACUCAGCCGUGUAUCUCUGUGCCAGCAGCUUAACCACAGCAUGACACAAUCGCCUCCUUCCUGCUCAUAAACCUCCUCCUCUCUCUCCUUGCUUCCUUAUGAUACUAUUUUGCACCAGGGCAUCCUCAUCUCACACCACUCCACUGCCUCUUCCAGAAUCAUUGCUUGCAUGUCCGCUGCUCAGAUCAGCGGAUGUGCAUUGUACACGUUAAUCAUUUUCUGUGGAAGGCCCUUUGCUGGUCUUCAUUAUCCAUCUUUAUUUUCCGCAUUGGAUACUGCCCCCUUCAAGAUUACUUGUUGCCUACAAGGGAUCCUACUUUUUACAUUCAAAUUUUACUUUUUAUUAAUAUGUAUUUGAUGCCAUCUUAAAGGCAAUCUCAUUAUUGUCCCAAUCUUUUGCUAAUCUUUAUGUUAAUGGUAACAUUGAUUGUUAUUUUGGGGGAUAUGUAUUUCAUCUUUGGUAAUGAAAUGAAAUAACUAUGCACUUCAA